CCCGUCACACCAUGGGAGUUGGUCUUACCCGACGGCGCUGCGCCAACCUGCCAGGGAAACUUGGUUGGAGGCAGGCGACCACGGUAGGGUCAGCGACUGGGGUG
rnacentral:rRNA from 1 species